UCCUACGGGAGGCAGCAGUAGGGAAUAUUGCGCAAUGGGGGCAACCCUGACGCAGCGACGCCGCGUGAACGAUGAAGGCCUUCGGGUCGUAAAGUUCUGUCCUCAGGGAAGAAACAAAUGACGGUACCUGAGGAGGAAGCCCCGGCUAACUACGUGCCAGCAGCCGCGGUAAUA
rnacentral:rRNA from 1 species